rnacentral:lncRNA from 10 species
AUGAAGCCGGUGCGUCAAGAGCAGCGUCCUCCUGGGCUCCACCUCGGGUAUGGCUCUGCGGGGGACAGACCUCCCGGCCAUCCCCGCCUCCCGAAGGCAGGCCGGCCCUGUAAGUAUGCACACCCUCUGCCCAGUGCUUGGAUUCAUCCCAAGGGCACGGUCUACUGGGCGGCCAGUACGCACAGUCCCCUCUCAGUAUCUGAGGCAGUGAUGCUCUGCAAAGUCACUGUGAACACCGAGUCAGCACGGACGGAACCCUUGCUCCUGGGGGAAGUAGGUUGGUACACACACACCUCUCACAUCGAUUAUAGUCUUAAAUCCAAAACAACACAUCUUGGUAGGUUCUAUUUUUUUAUCUUGUGAAAGAGAAAAUGCAGUUCAGAAGCGUUCAGUGACUUGCCCAAGGCCACUGUCAGGUGCCAGAGCUGGGAUGCAAAGCCUGGGAACAGAGCACCCUGCCCCACCCUGCCCCAGUCUCCUGCGUGUGAGAGGGAGGCAGGGAGCCCAUGUCUCCUUGUGUGACCUGGGUGGGAACCGGCCUGGGUGGCUCAGGUUUGACGGCUCUGCAGUGUCUGAGAGUGACUGCAAAAGCUCCAGAGUAUAGGCCUGGAGGUCACACAUACAUUUUAGUGAGCAGGCAAAUUCGCAAAAAUAGAAUCUGCAAAUAGAAGCCACUGUAUGGAAGGACAAAUACUGCAACAUUGUUUAUAUAAGGAAAAAUAGAUUAUCGGUAUGCCCAGCAGAAGGAAAUUCAUUCAAUAAUUUAGGGUACAUUCUUAAUUUAUGUAGCCAUUAGAAGUGCAAUUAUGAAAGUAUUUGUUCAGAUAGAAAUAUACUGAUGGACAUUGAAACAUGGUCAUGAUGAGUGAAAAAAUCAGAUUGCAGAAUUAUAAGG